GGGGAUAUAGCUCAGUUGCUAGAGUAUUUACCUUGCAUGCACAAGGCGCUGGGUUCAAUCCCCAGCACUCCUCA
rnacentral:tRNA from 1 species